UAAAGAAAGUGAAAUCUGUAUACAAUUACAGGGUACAAAUGGAUACAGAUGGGCUGACGUAGCCUGUCAUUGGCCAAACCCAUUUGUCUGCUAUGACACUCUAUGCAAUCGUUCCUUCUGUGGAACUCGUCAGUUUCAUGUGGUGAACUACAAUAAGAGCUGGACUGAAGCUCAGAAAUACUGCAGAGAGAACUUCACUGAUCUAGCAACCAUUGAGAACCAGGAGGAAAUGAACGCUGUAAAAGCUGCUAUCAAUGGUUCGUCAGGCCUGUUCUGGAUAGGACUGAAGAUUUACACUAGCUGGAUCUGGUCAGAUGGGAGUAACUCCUCAUACAGAAACUGGAGCAUUGGAAAACCAGACAACCUUGUGGGUGAUAACUGUGUGCAGCUACUGAAUGAGAGCGGAUACAGUUGGAAUGAUGCAGGAUGUAUUUGGGGAAGUCCAUUUAUCUGCUACAAAGGUGAGUAAUAUGAGGUGAUAAAUGA